GGGGGGCUGCUCCUAGUACGAGAGGACCGGAGUGGACGCAUCACUGGUGUUCGGGUUGUCAUGCCAAUGGCACUGCCCGGUAGCUAAAUGCGGAAGAGAUAAGUGCUGAAAGCAUCUAAGCACGAAACUUGCCCCGAGAUGAGUUCUCCCUGAGACUUUAAGUCUCCUGAAGGAACGUUAAAGACGAUGACGUUGAUAGGCCGGGUGUGUAAGCGCAGCGAUGCGUUGAGCUAACCGGUACUAAUGAACCGUGAGGCUUAACCUUACAACGCCGAAG
rnacentral:rRNA from 1 species